rnacentral:tRNA from 1 species
GCCCGUGUGGAUUAAUCGUACCGCGCACUGGACUCACAAUCCAGAGGCCGUCGGUUCGAAUCCCGUGGCGGGCG